rnacentral:lncRNA from 1 species
UGUAAUUUAUAUAAAAAAGGAAAUAAAAGGGAGUAUGUCCUUAGAGAUGGGGAAAUUUAGGUGUCGGAAAUAUGAGUUUUAGGUACUAAAAAACGCCUUUACUUGAGCUCAUACUUAACCCCAGAAGCACCAUCAUCGCCCAUGACAUUUUUUUUGUUGCCUUCGUCGACCUUGUUCCUUAAAUGCUCUCAACUUCCCUUCAAUGUUAUCUCCAUAUGAUAAUUCAAACACGUCAUCGAAGUUCGUCUGAAAGCAAUAGUGGAUUCUGGCAUGGCCCUCGGUGCCCAGAUGACGAUUGUCACCAACAAAUCAAUGCAAAUGCAAACAAUAGCAAUUAUG